rnacentral:rRNA from 1 species
CCUACGGGGGGCAGCAGUGAGGAAUAUUGGUCAAUGGACGAGAGUCUGAACCAGCCAAGUAGCGUGAAGGAUGACUGCCCUACGGGUUGUAAACUUCUUUUAUAUGGGAAUAAAAUGUUCCACGUGUGGGAUUUUGUAUGUACCAUAUGAAUAAGGAUCGGCUAACUCCGUGCCAGCAGCCGCGGUAAUACGGAGGAUCCGAGCGUUAUCCGGAUUUAUUGGGUUUAAAGGGAGCGUAGGUGGAUUGUUAAGUCAGUUGUGAAAGUUUGCGGCUCAACCGUAAAAUUGCAGUUGAAACUGGCAGUCUUGAGUACAGUAGAGGUGGGCGGAAUUCGUGGUGUAGCGGUGAAAUGCUUAGAUAUCACGAAGAACUCCGAUUGCGAAGGCAGUUCACUGGACUGCAACUGACACUGAGGCUCGAAAGUGUGGGUAUCAAACAGGAUUAGAUACCCCAGUAGUC